rnacentral:rRNA from 1 species
GACGAACGCUGGCGGCGUGCUUAACACAUGCAAGUCGAGCGGUAAGGCCCUUUCGGGGGUACGACGAGCGGCGAACGGGUGAGUAACACGUGGGUGACCUGCCCUCAGCUCUGGGAUAAGCCUGGGAAACCGGGUCUAAUACUGGAUAUGACUCCAUGACGCAUGUUGUGGGGUGGAAAGCCUUGUGCGGCUGAGGAUGGGCCCGCGGCCUAUCAGCUUGUUGGUGGGGUGANGGCCUACCAAGGCGACGACGGGUAGCCGGCCUGAGAGGCGACCGGCCACACUGGGACUGAGACACGGCCCAGACUCCUACGGGAGGCAGCAGUGGGGAAUCUUGCGCAAUGGGCGAAAGCCUGACGCAGCGAC